GCUUAUUUCUAGAGUAUAGAAAGUUACUUCGGUACAUCGGUGACAGGUGGUGCAUGGUUGUCGUCAGCUCGUGUCGUGAGAUGUUGGGUUAAGUCCCGCAACGAGCGCAACCCCUAUUGUUAGUUGCCAUCAUUCAGUUGGGCACUCUAGCGAGACUGCCGGUAAUAAACCGGAGGAAGUGGGAUGACGUCAAAUCAUCAUGCCCCUUAUGACCUGGGCUACACACGUGCUACAAUGGUUGGUACAACGAGUUGCGAGUCGGUGACGGCGAGCUAAUCUCUUAAAGCCAAUCUCAGUUCGGAUUGUAGGCUGCAACUCGCCUACAUGAAGUCGGAAUCGCUAGUAAUCGCGGAUCAGCACGCCGCGGUGAAUACGUUCCCGGGCCUU
rnacentral:rRNA from 1 species